rnacentral:rRNA from 1 species
CAGCAGCCACGGUAAUACGUAGGUCCCGAGCGUUGUCCGGAUUUAUUGGGCGUAAAGCGAGCGCAGGCGGUUAGAUAAGUCUGAAGUUAAAGGCUGUGGCUUAACCAUAGUACGCUUUGGAAACUGUUUAACUUGAGUGCAGAAGGGGAGAGUGGAAUUCCAUGUGUAGCGGUGAAAUGCGUAGAUAUAUGGAGGAACACCGGUGGCGAAAGCGGCUCUCUGGUCUGUAACUGACGCUGAGGCUCGAAAGCGUGGGGAGCAAACAGGAUUAGAUACCCCCGUAGUCCCUGUCUCUUAUACA